rnacentral:rRNA from 1 species
UACGAAGGGGGCUAGCGUUGCUCGGAAUCACUGGGCGUAAAGCGCACGUAGGCGGAUUGUUAAGUCAGGGGGUGAAAUCCUGGAGCUCAACUCCAGAACUGCCUUUGAUACUGGCGAUCUCGAGUCCGGGAGAGGUGAGUGGAACUGCGAGUGUAGAGGUGAAAUUCGUAGAUAUUCGCAAGAACACCAGUGGCGAAGGCGGACUCACUGGCCCGGGUACUGACGCUGAGGUGCGAAAGCGUGGGGAGCAAACAGG